UACGGAGGAUGCAAGCGUUAUCCGGAUUCAUUGGGUUUAAAGGGUGUGUAGGCGGAAUAUUAAGUCAGUGGUGAAAUCCUGCGGCUCAACCGUAGAACUGCCAUUGAUACUGAUGUUCUUGAAUAUAGUUGAGGUGGGCGGAAUGUAUAAUGUAGCGGUGAAAUGCUUAGAUAUUAUACAGAACACCGAUUGCGAAGGCAGCUCACUAAACUAUUAUUGACGCUGAGGCACGAAAGCGUGGGGAUCAAACAGG
rnacentral:rRNA from 1 species